UACGGGGGGGGCAAGCGUUGUUCGGAAUUACUGGGCGUAAAGGGCGCGUAGGCGGAUAUUUAAGUUAGAGGUGAAAGCCCAGGGCUCAACCCUGGAAUAGCCUUUAAUACUGGAUAUCUUGAGUUCGGGAGAGGUGAGUGGAACUCCGAGUGUAGAGGUGAAAUUCGUAGAUAUUCGGAAGAACACCAGUGGCGAAGGCGACUCACUGGGCCGAUACUGACGCUGAGGAGCGAAAGCGUGGGGAGCGAACAGG
rnacentral:rRNA from 1 species